GGAGUAUUGUGACUGGCUAUCUUUCUUGCUGCGUACCAUGGAACUAUUAUAAAGUUAAGCAUAGCCUAAACGACUUGCAAAUACAUUUUCUCUUGUUUAUUUUUUUUUUGCUUAGCUGUUCCACUCAUGGACCUAUUAAGGUUCCACUUAAGAGUUCACGUUACAACCGUUCGCCGUUGCUCCAUGUUUGGGGCGGCAUGCCUUGUUCGUGACCUGUCUCAAAUUCACUAACUGAAAUAGUGCCCCCUAGUGAUCUUUUUUUUUUUUUACUCAGUAUUAAUAGGCCUACUAUUGCUGUUUUCGCUUGAAUUUUUGUAUUUCUCUACUGAUUGCUUCGACAAUGCAACAUAAAAAUUUACUAACAGCGACUUCA